GAUGAAGAACGCAGCGAAAUGCGAUAAGUAGUGUGAAUUGCAGAAUUCAGUGAAUCAUCGAAUCUUUGAACGCACAUUGCGGCCAUAGGUAUUCCUUUGGCCAUGCCUGUUCGAGCGUCAUUUACACCCUCAAGCCUAGCUUGGUGUUGGGCGUCUGUCCCGCCGUUCUCGCGCGCGGACUCGCCUCAAAGUCAUUGGCGGCGGUCGUGCCGGCCCCCUCGCGCAGCACAUUUGCGCUUCUCGGAGGCUCGGCGGAUCCGCGCUCCAGCAAGACCUUUCACGACUUGACCUCGGAUCAGGUAGGGAUACCCGCUGAACUUAAGCAUAUCAAUAAGCGGAGGA
rnacentral:misc_RNA from 1 species